rfam:Rattus norvegicus chromosome 16, whole genome shotgun sequence.
GGGGAUUUAGCUCAGUGGUAGAGCGCUUGCCUAGGAAGCGCAAGGCCCUGGGUUCAGUCCCCG